UGUAGGUGGCGCGCUAAGUCGGGUGUGAAAUUUCGGAGCUUAACUCCGAAACUGCAUUCGAUACUGGCGUGCUUGAGGACUGGAGAGGAGACUGGAAUUUACGGUGUAGCAGUGAAAUGCGUAGAUAUCGUAAGGAAGACCAGUGGCGAAGGCGGGUCUCUGGACAGUUCCUGACACUGAGACACGAAGGCCAGGGAGCAAACG
rnacentral:rRNA from 1 species